GACGAACGCCGGCGGCGUGCUUAACACAUGCAAGUCGAACGGUAAGGCCCUUCGGGGUACACGAGUGGCGAACGGGUGAGUAACACGUGGGUGAUCUGCCCUGCACUUCGGGAUAAGCCUGGGAAACUGGGUCUAAUACCGGAUAGGACCCUGGGAUGCAUGUCCUGGGGUGGAAAGCUUUUGCGGUUUGGGAUGGGCCCGCGGCCUAUCAGCUUGUUGGUGGGGUGAUGGCCUACCAAGGCGACGACGGGUAGCCGGCCUGAGAGGGUGACCGGCCACACUGGGACUGAGAUACGGCCCAGACUCCUACGGGAGGCAGCAGUGGGGAAUAUUGCACAAUGGGCGCAAGCCUGAUGCAGCGACGCCGCGUGAGGGAUGACGGCCUUCGGGUUGUAAACCUCUUUCAGCACCGACGAAGCGCAAGUGACGGUAGGUGCAGAAGAAGGACCGGCCAACUACGUGCCAGCAGCCGCGGUAA
rnacentral:rRNA from 1 species